GAACUGGGUACGACUAGACGCAGUUGGAAGGUUGAGAUCGGGAGACAUCGAGAGCGGGUGACAUGGUGGCUGACUUGGAGCACCGGAUGCUUAACGCCCGUGGACGGGAACUCUGAUCUUCAAGGUCGGAGAUUCUCCGCGGUACUGUCGGUCCUCGGUGGUCAGAGUAAAAGAGGACCGCAGUCAUUUUCACUGUAAGUUUCAAGCUUUGCUUGAAAAAGUUUAGCUCCGAGUCUCUCACGUUUUUCGUAUUUGAGUCCGUUUCGUUUGGCAAACUCGAGUGUCCUUUGGAAAAGCCGUCCGCAGUUCAAAACUCGAGUCCCGGGCCUUGCAGGUCUUUUCUUUGUGUUUGCCUUGGAUAUGUGUAUCGAUUCGAACGCGCAACUUUUCUAAUUGCACCCGUGCGCACAAGUUAUUGGUUGACACCGGCGAACAGGAAGCGGUGGUACUCAGUUGUUGAGGUGAGUUCGGAGCUUACGAGCUCAAUGAAACGCGAGAGUUUGCGUUGAAUGUGUACUGGAAGUUGAUUUUGCAUCUGUACGCGUUUGAGAGGACAAUCCAGAUGAUGCUCUCCCUGGAACAAUAUGUG
rnacentral:lncRNA from 1 species